AGUCGGGGAUGAUAGUAAAUUUUAAGAGGUCCGAAUUUAAUAUCGCGCGUUCGUAUUGUUGUGAUUCUCAUGCUUUGUUCAAUAUUUAAUAGCAGUUCCUGAAUUUCGUUUGAACGAUUCGCAGUUUUUAUGUGCAAAACGUGAAUUGCGAAUACAAAACACCAUAAUAUUAAGGUCUGGCCAAAAGCUUGCUCGCGAGCAGUCUUCAGAGUCCGCUGGAUGGAAACUCGGCCCCCACUAUCUCGCCGUCCCCACUUAUGUUUGUUCGCUAUAUUUUGUUCUAAGCCUUAGAACAAUAUCAGUGGGACUAUUUAUAUUGAUCUUGAAAUAAAUGUUCUGCGGCCGGCGGAGAUGCAUUUGAUCGAGGCUGAAGAGUAAGUGAAUACGAAUGGCGAGUGAAUAUCGCGAGUGUCGAAAAUUGGAAUUGCCAACAAUUGGGAGUGUCGUAAUCCGGGAGGGCCGAAAAUUAAAUGUGUCGGGCGAAUAUUAUUAAAAAUUUCAUGUAAUCAUAAUUAAACAUGUUCUCCAACUGCAGCGUGAAAAUCAAGCAGUCCUCAACUGGAUAUCAACUUGAAUGCAGAAGCUGGCGAGACUGAGCAACGAACAUCGCCUGGUUCUGCGGCCGGCGAAGAUGUGUUUGGUCGAGUUGGAAGAGCAGCUUUUACGUGUAAAACAUCAACAGCGAAUAGAAUAUACUAUAUAAUAUACAAUAUUAAGGUUCUGCGGCCCGCGGAGAUGCAUUCGAUCGAGUCUGAAGAGUAAGUGAAUACGAAUGGCGAGUGAAUAUCGGGAGUGCCGAAAAUCGGAAUUGCCAACAAUCGGGAAUGUCGAAAUCCGGAAGUGUAAAUAUCGAUAAUUACGAGUGUCGAAAAUUGUGCGAAUGUCGAAAAUUGGGAGUGUCGCAAUUCGGGAGUGCCGAAAAUGAAAUGUGUCGGGCAAGUAUUAUUAAAAAUUUCAUAUAAUCGUAAACAUAUUCUCCUACUGAAGCAUGAAAAUCAAGUAGUCUUCAACUGGAUGUCAACUUGAAUGCAGUAAGGAGAGGCGGAGCAACGAACAUCGGCUGGAGAAUUUUUGGAAAAUUAUUUAAUUUGAAAAUCAAGUUAAAG